AACGCGAAGAACCUUACCAAGUCUUGACAUCCCAAUGACCGGAACUUAACCGUUCCUUCCCUACGGGGCAUUGGAGACAGGUGGUGCAUGGUUGUCGUCAGCUCGUGUCGUGAGAUGUUGGGUUAAGUCCCGCAACGAGCGCAACCCUUAUCCUUAGUAGCCAGCAGGUAGAGCUGGGCACUCUAGGGAGACUGCCAGGGAUAACCUGGAGGAAGGUGGGGAUGACGUCAAAUCAUCAUGCCCCUUAUGAUUUGGGCUACACACGUGCUACAAUGGCGUAAACAAAGAGAAGCAAGACCGCGAGGUGGAGCCAAUCUCAAAAAUAACGUCUCAGUUCGGAUUGCAGGCUGCAACUCGCCUGCAUGAAGCUGGAAUCGCUAGUAAUCGCGAAUCAGAAUGUCGCGGUGAAUACGUUCCCGGGUCUUGUACACACC
rnacentral:rRNA from 1 species